ACAGGGCGUGAACCGUUAAUUGGCAAACGAAUCGGAGCCACGAAGUCGUUUCGUUGAUAGUGGGGCCACAUUCAGUUUGGAACCCAAAAGAGUUCCAGGCGCAUUUGUGGAAUCCGCCAUCUUUGUAAGCGUACACUGCAACCAGUUAGACGAUUGGCGAUGGAAAUAGUUGAAUUGGCCUCUCGAGGUCGGCUCAACGAAAUAUCUGUUUGUUUGGGCUAGUAGUAGUGUGGCAGUCUUCGGGCUGUUCAUAUUGCUGAGCAAAGACAAGUGAACUAUCGUCAAAUACUGACUGGCAAAAUGAAAAUCACUCUAUGUGUUAUAUAGAAUGCGGUUCCAUGUAUUGAUGUCUACAUGCUUGACCGUUCGGUUUAAGCUCAGCAUUCUUCAAUUUGGACUUGCUGGCUACCAAUGGGGCAACUCUUGGUGCCAGUACAGCUUCCAUCUAAUGGGGUGUUGACUUGGCAGGACGUUGUUCCGGUAUGAAACGAUUGGAUGUUGAUACAAUGGAAUUCGCUAUGAUUGGCAGUGAGUAGGUCGGCUUUCCGAACGACCCGUCUUGAAACACGGACCAAGGAGUCUAAUUAGGCAUCGAGUCGAUCGGUCUUGAAUAGGCCAGACAGGUUGGGGUCAAACCCAACCGACUGAAGGCGUAGAGAAAUCAAAUCAUGCGAUCAUUGGGGUAAUACCAAUCCCAGUGCGCAGCAUGUGCCUGUUCGUAUAACAAUGUCGCAAGACUUGUUGGACGGAGUAUAGAGAUGCUUGAUUGGUACCCGAAAGAUGGGAAACCUUU
rnacentral:rRNA from 1 species